AGUUUGAUCCUGGCUCAGGAUGAACGCUGGCGGCGUGCCUAAUACAUGCAAGUCGAGCGAACGGACGAGAAGCUUGCUUCUCUGAUGUUAGCGGCGGACGGGUGAGUAACACGUGGAUAACCUACCUAUAAGACUGGGAUAACUUCGGGAAACCGGAGCUAAUACCGGAUAAUAUUUUGAACCGCAUGGUUCAAAAGUGAAAGAC
rnacentral:rRNA from 1 species